UUGUUAAUAUUGCUUCAGGAGAUGGACCUUCAGAGAAAGAUGCACUUUUAAGAAAAAUAUGGAAGAUUGUGAGACUUAAGAUGACACUGCAAAUGUUUGGCAGCCUUGUAGUUUCAAAGACCCACACCGUUUUGUUUUUGCCUCAGACCCUAGCUUUUCUUUUCAUUUGCCUCACAGGUACAGAAGUGCCUUUCACUGGCCUGUAGAGCUUCAGUGAUGGAAAAUGUGACUACAGCUUGAAGCAGGCUGAAAGCAACAAAAACACAAGCCCUGAUACAAGAUUCUGUGCAAACUUCUUCUGGGUUGAGCUGGAAAUGGAUGGCUUUCUGAAAGGAUUUUGACAGCUCCGCUUUUCUUUUCUUUUUUUUAAUUAAAUUGAAUA